rnacentral:rRNA from 1 species
GACGUAGGGCGCGAGCGUUUGUCCGGAUUUAUUGGGCGUAAAGCGCGCGCAGGCGGCUUGGUGCGCCCGACGUGAAAGCCCCCGGCUUAACCGGGGAGGGUCGUCGGGUACGGCCAGGCUUGAGGGCGGGAGAGGGUGGUGGAAGUUCCCGGUGUAGUAGUGAAAUGCGUAGAGAUCGGGAGGAACACCUGUGGCGAAGGCGGCCACCUGGGCCGACCCUGACGCUGAGGCGCGAAGGCGUGGGGAGCGAACGGG